rnacentral:rRNA from 1 species
UACGUAGGGUGCGAGCGUUGUCCGGAAUUAUUGGGCGUAAAGGGCUCGUAGGCGGUCUGUCACGUCGAAAGUGAAAACUCAGGGCUCAACCCUGAGCCUGCUUCCGAUACGGGCAGACUAGAGGUAUGCAGGGGAGAAUGGAAUUCCUGGUGUAGCGGUGAAAUGCGCAGAUAUCAGGAGGAACACCAGUGGCGAAGGCGGUUCUCUGGGCAUUACCUGACGCUGAGGAGCGAAAGUGUGGGGAGCGAACGGG